GAUGAAGAACGCAGCGAAAUGCGAUAAGUAAUGUGAAUUGCAGAAUUCAGUGAAUCAUCGAAUCUUUGAACGCACCUUGCGCCCUUUGGACAUUCCGAAGGGCAUGCCUGUUUGAGUAUCAUGAACACCUCAACUCUCAUGGCUUGUCUGUGAUGAGCUUGGACUUUGGGGGUCUUGCUGGCCUGUGGUCGGCUCCUCUCAAAUGGAUCAGCUUGCCAGUGUUUGGUGGCAUCACAGGUGUGAUAACUAUCUGCGCUUGUGGUUUUCCAUCAGAUAACCUUCAGUGAUAUGGAGGUUCGCUGGAGCUCACAAAUGUCUCUCCUUAGUGAGGACAGCCCUUUGAACGUUUGAUCUCAAAUAAGGUAGGACUGCCCGCUGAACUUAAGCAUAUCAAUAAGCGGAGGA
rnacentral:misc_RNA from 1 species